UGAGGAAUAUUGGUCAAUGGACGCAAGUCUGAACCAGCCAUGCCGCGUGCAGGAAGAAGGUGCUAUGCAUUGUAAACUGCUUUUAUACGGGGGUAAUUACAGAUACGUGUAUCUGGUUGAAAGUACCGUAUGAAUAAGGAUCGGCUAACUCCGUGCCAGCAGCCGCGGUAAUACGGAGGAUCCGAGCGUUAUCCGGAUUUAUUGGGUUUAAAGGGUGCGUAGGCGGUCAGGUAAGUUAGAGGUGAAAGCUCGAUGCUCAACAUCGAAACUGCCUCUGAUACUGUCUGACUAGAGUGUAGUUGC
rnacentral:rRNA from 1 species